GCCACACGUUUACCUUUGGAUCAAUAAUAUACACGAAAAGGUUUUUUCUAAAAGGUGUGGCUGGUUUAGUUGGCGAUUGUCUCAUUAGAUGGUUAUUGUUAUCGACUGCAUAGUGAUGAGUGAACCUCUCUACUCAUGGAUUUCGUUUCCGCCAAUUCAAAUUCUUCUUGAUAUGGCAUUAAGAAAAACAGGACUGUUGACAUUGUUUUUGUUCCCCAUCAUCCGUAGUUCAGAAUAAGGUAAUUUUUUAUGGUGCGUAUCGUAUGAUGAGCGAAUGAAAUUAAAAAUGAAAAAGGUGGUAGUGUGAUACGUAAAGGUAACAGCUGCUGUAUAUUUCGUCAACAAUCUGGGAUCACUAACAGAUGUAGAAGCAUGUAGAAGCACUCCUCAAUCCUCAUUGUAGAAGCAUUACACCUUGGGGAUUUCGUCUGUUAUGAUGUGCGAUGCUGAGGUGGUGGCUGUUGGGGAAGACGAGAUAUAAAUUUGGAGGGCAGAAUAUUACGUGCUUGAGUAUUUUAAAAGUUAUUGCUUGCUUUUGUUUGUUAGUUUUGUCUAAUUGAGUGUCAACGAUCUAGAGAUGAUAUUGUUUUCAUGUUACUUUUAAAAGUUUCUUCUUUGUGAGUUGUGACGCUAGACGGCCUUUGCCUUUGACCAUUUCUCACCUGUCAGAAGCAUCAGUUUACUUUACAAAUCUCUGAAGAAAUUUAUCGCCGCUAUUAUUAGGUAAAUUUCUAAGGAUUUCAAGCUAGAUUUCAGCAAAAAAAAGUACACCGUUCAAGUUAUAUCAAUAUCUAAAGAACUUUGGGUUACAUGUUUCUGUUAUCCGAGUUUCAGACGUGUCCAAUAGAUGGCAUGUGUCCUCAUUUGUUUAUGUCAUGGCGGAUUCAUGGCAGAUUUUUGUUUUGUUGUCAAAAGUUUCCUUUUAUUCCUCGAAAACUACCGAUUAUUUCAUAGAUCAAUUCAAGUUCAUUUCUGUGCAAGUUGUUGCUGUAGUAGGAAGGAACGCGAAUGGAAACAGUAGCCUAAAAAUCGUCCUUUUGCUGAAUGCAUCAUCCAGUCAAGUCAAUAUAGUUUCUAUUGAUCUUGGUAGGUCACUAACACCAGCAUGGCCACAAUGUUGUUUCUUUCCGAACAUGUUUUCUACAAAUUAUGCAUUGACAGACAAAGAAGGCUAUGGGAACAUAUUCAAGGCCAUGGGUAAUCUUCAGGUUAAUUGCAGCAACUUUGGAGAAGUCACAUGAAAAGAUGCAGGGCACAUACCAACAUGUGUUGUAUUUAUCUGAAUUCUUUACUCUAGCAGUAGAUUCAACAUAACUGUUUGAUGCCAAAGUUAGUUGGAACUCUAACUCAAACACAGAUAACCUGCUGCCUUACAGUCACAGGCAGGAAAAUAAUUCCUUUCUUCAGAAAAUUGUAAGUUUUAUUUUUUGUCUGGACCCUCCAUACCCCCAGUCUCAGAAGAUUUAUUUGUAUGUGAUGUGUAUCCGAUUAUUCAUUUCUCGUGAGUCGUGAUGUUAAGCUUCGGAAACAUGAGUUCUUCGUUCGGAAAGCAAUCCAUCCGUUCCGUACAGUCAAUCAAAUGUGGUAAUCGUGAGGGAAUCUUUUGGCUGUCGGUAGGUGGCUAAAAUGGAUUGUCAUCCAUCCACCAGGUGACGCGAGUGUCUUCGUGAGGAGUUGAGGACGAAAUUGAAAUAUUUGCUAUUUGUUUCCGAAACGUUGACUGAAAGUGUAUUCGAAAUACAUUACGGAAUUGCGGUGUCGAUCUACAUUUUCAGCCAUGAAAUUGUAAUUGGCAAUGUGGCUUAUAAUUUCACUUGGCCAAAUAAUGUGACCACUUGGGUCGAAACUGCUGUCCAUUUGGCCGAAAUGUCGGCCAUUCGGCUGUACGUCUCAUCUCGUUCUGAAACACUUCAGAGCUAGUAAAUUGAUGUUUUGGUCAGAGAUGGAGAUCCCUUUGCUCAACUGUUGCAGAAGUUGAGAAGACAAUAAAGUCUGAGCUUCAUGGCUGUCAUAUCAUGAACAUGGUUUUGUUGUUGCCAGCUGGUGAAAGGUGUGAUCGAGUCAUGGUUGAGUUGCAGCUUCUGCAUGCAGUUUAUCGAGCUGGUGCUAUCCCAAGUGUAACUGCAUGAAAACUUCUUGAAUUGCCAGGUGAAGUGUGCGCUUCUUUGUUGCAGUCUUAUGUGCUCAUGGAUUCGUUGCAGUCAUCCAGUGAAAGGUGUGAUUAAAUUGAGCUGUUGCAUGCAGUCUUUGGUGCUGAUGUUCUCCUGGAGUGUGGGAGAGUCCCAUGCUUCAAGUCUUCUGUGAUCAGCCAUAUCUGAGUUGACGCUGGAUCAUGCUGCAUUGUGGUUGCCAAAAUGUUGAACAUCUAGUAAAACUGCAAGAAGACUCCUUGAAAUGGUUUAUGUUUACGUAGCAGUGAUAUUGCUGUCCAAUAUGGCAUGUUGUUGCAGCCUAUACUGGUGAAAGUUUUUUUGCAUCGAGUUAUGCUGUUGCUGUCCCUUGGUGCCGGACUGCUGGUGUUGUGCACAAAAGUUACAUCCAGUUUUAAUUGUUAUUUGUGUCUAUGCAGUUAACCGUUUAUAUGUUGAAAAGGAACAGAAAAGUUUCUUGGUGCUGAAUCGCUGGUGUUGUGCUACAUCAGUUACAUCCAGUAUUUUGUUUAAUUGAUAUUUGCGUCUAUGAAGUUAACCGUUUAUAUGUUGAGAAUGAAAAAAAAUAGUAAUACGGGGAAUUUUUACGUUGAACAAAUAAUAAACAUGCCUUCGCGAUUGGGAAACCAGCGAGGAGGAGAUUGGGGGGAUGGGGGUAAUUGAUUUUCAUUAGCUAGAAGAAGUCGUGGUUUAUUUUAAUAAAGU